UGAGGAAUAUUGCCCAAUGGAGGAAACUCUGAGGCAGCGACGCCGCGUGGGUGAAGAAGGUCUUCGGACCGUAAAGCCCUUUUCUGCGUGACGAGGAAGGACGGUAGCGCAGGAAAAAGUCUCGGCUAACUACGUGCCAGCAGCCGCGGUAAAACGUAGGAGGCAAGCGUUAUCCGGAGUUACUGGGCGUAAAGCGCGCGCAGGCGGAUGGAUAAGUGGGUUGUGAAAGCGCUCGGCUAAACCGGGCGAGGACAAAUCAGACUGUUCAUCUAGAGGCGGAUAGAGGAGCGUGGAAUUCCGGGUGUAGCGGUGAAAUGUGUAGAGAUCCGGAGGAACACCAGUGGUGCAAACGACGCUCUGGGUCCGAACUGACGCUGAGGCGCGAAAGCGUGGGGAGCGAACG
rnacentral:rRNA from 1 species